AACUAGCCCCGAUAGGAACGGCAUCCUCCUGACUUGUGACCGAACAAGGCAGGAGAUAUAGUGGAUAGCGGGAAACCUG
rfam:Flavobacterium succinicans strain DD5b FLB_contig000017, whole genome shotgun sequence.